CCUACGGGUGGCAGCAGUGGGGGAUAUUGCACAAUGGGGGAAACCCUGAUGCAGCGACGCCGCGUGUGGGAAGACGGUCCUCUGGUUUGUAAACCACUGUCCCCAGGGACGAAGAUGACGGUACCUGGGGAGGAAGCUCCGGCUAACUACGUGCCAGCAGCCGCGGUAAUACGUAGGGAGCGAGCGUUGUCCGGAAUUACUGGGUGAAAAGGGAGCGUAGGCGGGGAUGCAAGUUGGGUGUAAAAACUACCGGCUCAGCUGGUAGUCGCACUUAAAACUGCAGCUCUUGAGUGAAGUAGAGGCAGGCGGAAUUCCUAGUGUAGCGGUGAAAUGCGUAGAUAUUAGGAGGAACACCAGUGGCGAAGGCGGCCUGCUGGGCUUUUACUGACGCUGAGGCUCGAAAGUGUGGGGAGCAAACAGGAUUAGAUACCCCAGUAGUC
rnacentral:rRNA from 1 species